GACGAACGCUGGCGGCGUGCCUAAUACAUGCAAGUAGAACGCACAGUUUAUACCGUAACUUGCUACACCAUAGACUGUGAGUUGCGAACGGGUGAGUAACGCGUAGGUAACCUGCCUGGUAGCGGGGGAUAACUAUUGGAAACGAUAGCUAAUACCGCAUAAUAUUAAUUAUUGCAUGAUAAUUAAUUGAAAGGUGCAAUUGCACCACUACCAGAUGGACCUGCGUUGUAUUAGCUAGUAGGUGAGGUAACGGCUCACCUAGGCGACGAUACAUAGCCGACCUGAGAGGGUGAUCGGCCACACUGGGACUGAGACACGGCCCAGACUCCUACGGGAGGCAGCAGUAGGGAAUCUUCGGCAAUGGACGAAAGGCUGACCGAGCAACGCCGCGUGAGUGAAGAAGGUUUUCGGAUCGUAAAGCUCUGUUGUAAGAGAAGAACGGGUGUGAGAGUGGAAAGUUCACACUGUGACGGUAUCUUACCAGAAAGGGACGGCUAACUACGUG
rnacentral:rRNA from 1 species